rnacentral:rRNA from 1 species
GUUGCCGGUGACGUGCGACGGGUGAGUAAACGUGAGGAACUGCCCGAAGACGGACACACCGGGAACCGGUGGUUAAUACGGAUACUUCACCGGAUCGCAUGUUCUGGUGAAGAAAUGGAUUCCGCUUCGGGAUGGCUCGCGGCCUAUCAGCUUGUUGGUGAGGUAACGGCUCACCAAGGCGACGACGGGGUAGCUGGUCUGAGAGGAUGUCCAGCCACACUGGACUGAGACACGGCCCAGACUCCUACGGGAGGCAGCAGUUAGGAAUCUUGCGCAAUGGACGAAAGUCUGACGCAGCGACGCCGCGUGCGGGAUGAAGGCCUUCGGGUUGUAAAACCGCUUUCAGCAGGGACGAAAUUGACGGUACCUGCAGAAGAAGCCCCGGCCAACUACGUGCCAGCAAGCCCGGGCGGGGUUAAAUUUAACCGGGGUUUUAAAGGGGGGAGAGGAGGAGGGGCCCAAAGGCCGGUUUUGGGUUCCCCGGGGGUAUAUUUCAUUUGGGGGGCCGGUUAACAAAGGGAAGGCUUUCCGGGUUAAGGGGCCGGGUUCACGGGGUAAAAAGGUUCCGGGGGAAUUGGGUUGGAAAAAAU